UGGAUUUAGGUUAAUGUGCAAUCUGUCUCCAGCCCCAAAUAUAUGCUUGUCGUUCCCCUCUUUCCUGGAAUAGAGAACAGAGUACUAAACAAAUUUUGCAUUUUCUUCCCCUUUUUGUAAAACUUCCUUGUCCUUAGAAGCAAAAGAUGAGAUAUAACAUAAUAAUAAAAAUGUUUUUCUCUAAAUAUAGAUAUAAUGAUGGACAGUAUGUAUGAGUUAAUUUAAUGUUCAUUUCUCAUUUUUUCUGUUAUUGGAUCUAAUUUAAUGAACAGAGUACUCAUUUUUUCUAUUAAUUUAAUGUUAUUGUAUCAGUAUUUUCAAAGUGUUCAAUCCUUGUAUUUUGCUUGAUUUGGCUAUGAAUUUGGAAUUCACUAGGAACAAAGAUAGAAAUUUCUUCUGUAACUGGUUUCAGAACUCUUCAUUAUAGUAGAGUUAUAGGAUUAGAAUAGAGUUAUAGGAAGAUGUUGAGUGAGUGACUCACGAGGAAUUGGAUCAGUGAUCAUGACCAGGUAAAGCAGAUUGAGGAAUCAUCAUUUGAGGACUAUGUCUCUGCUGCUGUGAUAAUGGUUCAAUUUAAUUGUUUAUUACAGGUUCAUAUAGAAGAUUGUGGAGAUCAUUCAUGUACGAGGAGCUUAAGGUAAGGAUUUUUGUUUGUUUCAUUAUUAAUGUCACCAACAAGUCCUCAAUCUGUUUAACUUUUGGUUCUAAUUGGAACAAAAUGAAAUUGUCAUUUUCAACUUUAGUUAAAUUAAUGUAUCACUUGCCCCAAUUCCAAUAUUGGGUUCUUUUUACAGUUAGCGCAAAUUGCAGUUACAAUGAUCGGUAGUGCUAUUUUUAGAGGAAGUUACCCCAGGCAACCUGAGAAUUUGAUGAGACUCUGAGUGUAGAAAGGUAUAUGAUAACAGUGAGUUGUUUUGCUCUUGGUUUUUGCACUUUCUCUAGACUACUUUUGCACUUCCUUAAUAUGUACUUUUCAAUGAAAAAGAGAAUAAAGAAAGACUAAGGUGGUGUUUGUUUUUUUGGUUUUUUACUGAAAGCAAUUUGUUUUCAGAAUUUAGGUUGUUUGUUUUUCUACUUUUUCAUGACUUAUUAUAGACUUUUUACUAAAUAGAAAAAACCAAAAUAUAUAGUUUUUUUAAAUAUAAAAAAUAACAUAUUGGUUUUUCUUUACUUUUUAAUACUUAAUAGAAAUAAAAUACUAUAAAAACAACCAACUUAAUAUUUAACACUAUUAAAUAUUAAGGUUUUAUUUAGAAUUAAGUAAAAAAACAAACACCACCUAAGAAAAAAAAAGUUUCCCUUAGGUUCCCUUUUCAUAUUCAAAACCAAAAAAAGGCCAAUAUUGUUGUUUGUCUUGGAUCAAUACAACAACAAUAAUAUUGUGUGUUUGCUUAGCAUUAUAUAUUUUACCUCUUAAAGUUUAACACAUUUUGUUUAUUUAUUUGUUUAUAUAUUAUCAUGAUGUUAUUAGUGUCAUGACAAUUGCAAACAUCAUAGAUAAUAGAACUAUUGUGUAGUUUUUCUUUGGAGCAUCCUUAUUUUGGAUAGAUUUGCUACUCUAUAAUAGAAAUAAAAUCAUCCAAUCCAGCCAAGUCAACUUUGGAGGGCUGCAAAUAAUCAAAAGACCCAAAUAAUCAAGAGAAAUUUAAAGACGUUCUUUGACUCAUUCAUUUAAUUCAAAGUUUAUGCCGUGUCUAUCAUGCAAUUUCUAUCGUCCCUAUCAUGGUGACCACUUUUUUUUCCAUCAUUUUUAAAAUAUUUUUUUUCAUGUCAAGGUAACUUAUCAAGAAAAAAUUUGCAUUGCAUUGCCUUGACUUCAACUUUAUGUUUUAUUCCCUAUGACCCCAAAAAAAUCACUUCAAAACAUAUAGAAUCUCUUAAAAAUCAUAUUGUAGUUAUAAUGGUUGUAACCUUUUCUUUCCCUUUAUUUUAAGAGCUAUUUGAAAGUGUGUUUUAGAUUUUAUUUGACUUAAUGAACAUUUCAUCUAUUCUUUUCUUAGAGAACGUUGUAGACACCAAAAUUUGCCCCAAUUUUUUUUUACAUUAAUUUUGAACUCAAUUUUAUCAAUAAAUUUCAAACCGGAUUAUAUUUUAAUUAUUUUUGACUCAUUUACCUUUUAAUUCUUAGUUUUUAUUAUUUUGUAAAUUAUUUUAUUUUAUUUUUAUUUGUUAUUAUUAUUAUAUUAUAUUAUAUUUUAAUAUUUUUAUUUUUAUUUUUAUUUAUUUAUUUAUUUUCUCUCUCCUCUCUCCUCUCUCCUCCUCUUUCUUCUCAUCCCAACCACCCCACCCACUCUCUCUCUCUCUCAUACCCCUCAUCGGACGGCCAUACCCCUAUUCCCCUAUUGGUUUAUUAUUAUUAUUAUUUCCCCCUUCAUUCUUCCUUCUUCUUAUUCUCCCUUUCUUUUUGUAGUUUUUUUCCCCCUUAUUUUUUUUUCCUCCACGCGGCCGGUUGCCCCCAUCUCCCCAACUUCUCUCCAUUUCUCAACUCUUCCCCUCAUUUUUUUUCCUCCAUAGACGGCCACAACCGGCUUCCUCAUUUCUUCUUCCAUUUUUUUUCUUUUUUCAUUUUUUUUCUUCCCCCCAAACGCACACACUAACCGAUCUUACCAUCUCAUCUCUUCCAUUUUUUUCUUUUUUCUUCUCCCCCCAACUCCCACAUAGGCUUUCCGCAUUUCUUUUCCUUUCCAUUUCUCUCCUCUUUCCUUCCCAUUUUCUCCUAUUUUCUUCCUCCCAUUUUUUAUUUUUAUUUUAUUUUAUUUUAUUUCCCAAAAACCCGUCAACUCUCAUUGUCGCUGAUUGGACCACCGGUUAGUCUCCGUCGACGAGCCACUGUCACAAUCAUCUCCCACUUUUCCCCUAUUUUCUUUCCCACAUUGGCUCCAACAUUAAUUAAAAAUUUAAUUUAAUUUAAUUUAAUUUAAUUUUAUUAUUAUUAUUAUUAUUAUUAUUGUCAUUAUAUUUAUUUUUGUUUGAUUUAUGCAGUAGUGGUUUGGGUGUUUUGAGUUUGUUUAAUUUAUUUAGUUAUUUACUUGUUAAAUUGUGUUUGAUUUUGAUUGUGGAUUUAAGAUUACAUAUUAAAUUAGGUUUGGAUUACGAGAUAUUAAAUUUAGGCCUAAUGAGAUUUAUUUUAAUUUAUCAUGUUUUGGGUUUGAUUAAUUGAACUUAUAUUUUGGCUAUUAAUUUGGAAACUUUAGAUAAGAAUCUAUGAUAUGUGAUAUAUUUUUGUUGGGUUAUAUUUGCUAAUUUGGACUCUUUUUUUUUUAAUUGGUGAAAUUUACUAAACUAAUUUGAAGUUUGGAUUUGGGCUUAAAUACCUAUUGCGAAUUUUAUAUAUUUCUAGAUAUUUACAUUUGUGUUAUUUUUGUUUUUGUAUGGACCUAUUCUGUAAUUCUGUUGGCUGAGUACGAAUUUAUGACACGUGGAGUAUGAAAUUUUAUGGAAAAAAGUGAGAUUAAAAAAGUUGUAAAAAGACAUUGAGCUUGUUGUAAGUUUAUUUGGGUACAUAUUUUAUUUCUCACUUUUAUUUAGUUUUAUUUUUAUUAGUUCUUGUAAAUAUUCGUUUGUAUAUAUUUAUUAAGUGUGUACAGCAUUGGAUAUCAAAUAAAUUAGAAAUUUUGUUUAAAUAAGAUGAAUAAUUCAGUAAAUAUGUUUUAAUAAAAUAAUAAUUUUAAAAUAUUCUUUUUAAUAAAAUAAUUAUUUUAUUAAUAAAAUUCAGAAAAAUGCAUUUAGAAAAAUCUAAAAGAAUUGUUUUUAAUAAAAUUUGAAAAAUUGUUUUUAACAAAAUUGUCCAAAACUUUCUUUAUUUAAUAAAAAUUGUUUUCUAAAUAAAGGUGUCCCAAAAAUUAAUUUUUGAUAAAAUUGUUAAAAAAAAUGUUUUUUUUAAUGAAUUCUCUUUCCUUAAUUAAAAUGGAAUUAAAAGUUUUUUUUAUAAAAAAAAUAGAUGAUUUAAUUUUUUUUCUUUUUAAUUAAAAUUCCUUUUGCAAAUAAAGUCAUCUCUUUUUAAAUAAUUUGUAUAAAUCACUUUUCUUAAAUGAAAAAAAAAAACAAAAUACUUUUGUAAAUAAAAUUGUAAAAAUUCAUUCAUUUUUUUGUAAAAGCAAGUAAAAUAAUUUUUGUUGCCAAAUUGAAUUUUUGUAAUAAAUUCUUUUGAUACAAUAAGUGUAAAUAACUUUUUUGAAAAUUGAAUACAAAUGAAGUUGAGAAAAUAAAUUAACUUUUUUUUGUAAAUAAAUAAAUUGAAAUCAUUAAUUGAAAAUUGUUUUUUUUUUUAAAAUUCUUUGAAAUUUCUUGAAAACUGAUUCUCUUAAAAUAUAUUUUUUUAGUUCAAUAAAUCAUUUUGCAUUAUUCUCUUGUCAUUUAUUUUGCGUAUUCAUGUAAUUAGAUUUUAUCAUUAUUUUUAUGUAUAUUGAUUUUUAUCAUGACUUGUAUAUACUCAUUUGCAUAAUUAUUUUUCUUGGUAUCCAUAAUUAAUUAAUUAAUUGUCACAAUUCCCUUAAUUCGUUAAGUAAAGGUCUUACGUAUACAGGCUUAGAGCGGUGCUAUGGCUCACCACCAUUCCUUUCCAAUAAGUAACCUGACCCCUGACCAAGACUCAGUUUUUCACAGACCUGUUUUUCCUUUAAGAGUCACACUUAGGGUUUUUAUUUCUUAUUUUGUUUUUCCCUUAAAAAAUAAAACAAAAAUAAGUGAUGACUAAGUCUUUUUUGAAAAAAAAAAAAAUCAAAUUUUCACCUAAUAAAUAAAAAAGAGAUUAAAAAAAAAUUCUAAGCCAAAAGUGAUCUCAAAGCUUCUCCAAUGCCUUACCUAUUUAGUUAUCUUGCUGAGACAUGACCAUGGAACUUGGGUACCAAUUAAGGCAGGUGAUUAGACAUGAUUAUUGAUGAGUAAUAACCAACAAAAGUUUUAGAACACUCAAUACUUUAUUUUCAUUAAAUUAGUAAAGCUAUAUGUUUGGUUCUUAAAAAAUUAAAAAAUUUAAAAAAAAAAUGCAAAAGAAAGGAUUUAGAGAGGAAAGUAAAAAAGAAGAAAAAAAAGGGCCUAUAAUUAAUUUUUUUUUUCAUGCUACUUCAAACAUAAUCUAUAUAUUUUAUCAAUUUGAGAUAAAAAUUAAAUAAUUUAAAAAAUCAUAAGUUUCUAACUAAUUCUAAUUAUAAUUUAUUUUUUUUCAUGUAUUAACAUCAAACAUGAGAAAAUUUUGCUUAUAUUGUUUUUUUUUUCUUUUAGUACUUUAUUGGAACAAAACAUAGAUUAAAAGAUUCUAAGAUUGUCUUAAAAUGGUAUUUGUAGGUCCAUAUUUUUAGAAUCCAGUUCAACUUAAUUACUUUAUGAUCCAUGAAUUAUUUGGAGGAAUUUGAAAAUUAACUUCAGUAUCAUAAACUAAAAGCUCUAUUGCCAUCACUUAAUUUGCCUGCUCCAUGGAGUUGAAAAGCCUUCUAUUUUUAGUCUAUGCUUAACACCAACUCAAGUCAAAGUCAUGUUAAUUUUUAACAAAGUGGAAAAGGACUUGGUUGCUAUCUUGACUUAACCUUCAAUUUUCAAUGGGAACUAAUGAGUUGUGGGGCAUGGAGUAGUAGUUUUCUACAUCUUAGUGGCGGCAUGGACCAACUGGAGACCUAUCAUAUUUUUUUCACAUGACCCCUACACAUCUUCUUUGAUGAAGUCCAACAUGCCAAUAUCACUUUCCUCUCACAAAAGCCAUGUUACUAUAUUCUAUUUAUCUUCAUGGAGAUAAAAUAGUAUAUUACAAUCCAUAGUAGUUAUAGAACAUAAAAUUAUAAGUAGUUUUAACCAUAUCAAACUACUCAUUGAAUUGAAAAAGUCACCCAUUUAUGAUUCAGUAAUCAGAUCGAUGGCUGACCUACGAUCAAAACAAUGAGAUCAUAAAUAUAUAAUUUAUAUAUCAUUAAAAUUAAAAUAACUAUUAGAAAGUAGUAAAUAUAUAAAUAAUUAAACAAAUUAAAUACAUUUUAUCAUUAAUAAGAAUGACAUAUAGAUUAAUUAAAUUAUUAACACUUGUAAUUUUAUUAAAAAUUUAGCUUAUAUCGAUUAAGAUUUUGUUAUUUAAAUUGGGUUAGAUUUCAAUAGCUAAAUAUUAUUUUGUUAUUUAAAAAAUUAUUAGUUCUUUUAUUUAUAUUAUUUUCAUAUUUACUAUCUCAUAAUAUAUAUAAAUAUUUAUAUUCAUUUUGAAGUUUUGAAAUAAUCUAUAUAUAAUAAAGGAUGGGUUUGAACCUAAGAUGUGCACCUCUAUGGUGUUUUUGCAAAAAUUAUAAAAUGUUUGAAGUGGUCCCACAAGUAGAAGAAGAAAAACUAGUCUUUAAAAGACAUCUAUGGAUUCACGUUUUUCAUGUGUGCUUCGAUUCGAUGGAGAGACUCGUUUUAUUGUGAAAAAAAUGAUUAUUUGAAAACCGUUUUCAAGUUUUUAGAGUCGUCACUUAUUUUAUUUAAUUUUUAAAAAGGGAAAUAGGAAAAAAAUAGUAAUCUAAGAAUAGGUUCAAGGGUUAGGUUAUCUAUAGAAAAUGUGUAAAAUAAGUUGUAGCAUCUUUGUAAGGCCAUAUACUUACAGUCCACUAAGUAAGUAGAAUAAAUUAUGGUAAUUAAAUAAUCGAUUAUGGAUACCCAAAAAAAAAUAACACAAAUAUAAAACAAAUCAUGGUUAAAGUCAUAUUAAAAGACUAUACAAAAUAAAUGAUAAAAAAAAAAAAUUGCACAAGUUGAUUUAUUAAACUAAUUAGAAACAUGAAUUUAAUUAUUUCCAAAUUCAAAAAAUAAAAAAAAAGUUUAUUUGCAUAAAAAAAAUAUUUUUCCAAUUUCUUAAUUCAAUUUGUUUUAUUCACAAAGUAAAUUUUUAUUUUUAUUGUAUUUACAAAUAAUGCUUCAAAGUAUUCUAUUUACAAGGAAAUGAUAAUGAUUUUUUCAUUUAAAAAUGAUUUUUACAACUUUUAUUUAAAAACAGAUUACAAAAUCAUAGUUAUUAUGAUACAAUCUUAUUAAUAGAAAAUAAAAAAGCAAAAAGAUUUUUUAAUUUUAUGAUGAAGACAUUCUGAUACAAUUUUAUCUACUGAAAAAGUGAUUUUUGUUACUUUAAUUAAAACACAUUCUUAACAUGGGAAGAGUUUACAAAUUUAUUUAAAAAUAAGGUUUUGCCAUUUUAUUUUAUUUUUUAAAAAAGAAAAAAAUAGAUUUUUUAUUUUUUAUUAAAAAAAAGUAUGCUUUUAAGGUUCUAUUUAAAAAAAAAUUACAGUUUUAUAAAAUAAAAGAAAAUAACUUAUACAGUUUAUUUUUUACAAUUAUAAAAUUACAAUUUUAUUUAAAAGAUUUGCACAGUUUUAUUUAGAAAAUAUAUUACCAUUUUAUUUAGAAAAAAAUACCUCGAUUCUUAUUUAGGAAAAAAAAAAACCAAUUCAAUUUACCGAAGAAGGAAAAAUCAAUUAAUUAAACAAAAAAAAUCGAUUAUUCUUCUGGAAAACAAAAGUUCAAAUUUUAAAUAAAAAUUAUUAAAAAUAUUAUAAAAAUUAUUUUAAAAAAUGAAAAAUGAAUGAGAGAUAGAAUCUCAUAAGUGGGAAUGGUAGACUAACGAGGCCCAUGUAGCGUGUUGUGGUGAAUAAUAAACUAAAUAAAUAGGUAAAAAUAUAAAUUUUGAAGUAGAAGUGAGAGAAUAAGCAACUUGGAGAGUGAAAAAUGGGAGUGUAGGUGAGAAUGGAAGAGCGGUGGGUCUCACACCAUAAGAUAUGGUGAAUAAUAAAUGAAUGAAUAAUAAAAUUAACAAAUAAAAAAAUAAAAAUAAAAGUAAUAGGAAACAAAUAAAAUAGAAUUAAAAUAAAUAAAUACAAGUCUAAUAAAUAAAAAAAGAAAAAAAACAACUUAAAGGCUUAAAGAAAAAUUUUGAGUCUACAAUAUCUUUAUGCAUGACAGCACAAGAAGCGCAAAAAGGGUAUACAUUCAUCGCGAUUUUGCAAACAAAAAAAAAAAUGAGAAAAAAAAGUAACAAAAUGAAAAUGAAACAAAAAAUACAAAAAAAAAAAAAAAAAAAAAAAAACUAUGUGCACAUGAUCCAUGGAGUGAGGCCACUUGAUUCAUAUAAGUUAGCAUAGAAAAUUAUCUAUAAUGAAUGGAACAAUUAAAAAUUAUCAAGACAUCAAAUAAAUCAUGGUCAAAUUUUCUGUUUUAGGAGAUAACUUGUCUUAAAAUCAUUUAAUCAAGAGUCCAUUCAUUUUCUUUUUGGCAAAAAUACCUUUAAAAUACCCUUUUUUUUAAAAAAAAGAAAAAGAAAAAAAAAAGGUUGUUUUUCUUGCUUUCUUUAUUAAUGAUAUCAUCUUGUAAGUGUUGGUUGCAAAGUCAUUGAUACAUACACUAAAAUAUAAUUUUUAUUUUAACUAAUUCUUGGUAAUCCAAUAUGAUGAUACUUGUAAUCAUAGUAGAAUAAUACUAUUAUUAUAAUGUUGAGAGUUCCUUUGAGAAAAGAUAAUUAGGAUUUCAUAUAAUUUAAUUUUACUUGAUAUAGAGGUGACUACUUAGAUGGUUAAGUUAAAAUCUUAAACAUUCAAAACGUUUUAUAGCUUAAUAUUUUGUAAACUCAUACAUACACCGAGCACAUCAUACCUUAGUAAUGUCUUGAUAGAGAGAAUGACUUAUAAGUCUUGGGUAUAGGCAUAUGCUAGAGGGUUAUGCAAAACGCAACGUUUAAGUAAUAUAAAAUAGAUGUUUAAAGUUAGGCAUUUGAACUUGUUCUAGAUAGCUUAAGGUGAAACCUAAGGGAUUAGUGGCCUUAAGUAAUAUAAAUUUUGAUGAAUUCAAUGCUUCACGAUUUUAAAUUAUUAUUAUUAUUAUUUAUUUGUAACAAAAUAAAUCAAUUAUGCUUUUAUAAGAUAUUAAUAUCCAUAUUUUAAAAAUAUUUUAAAAAAUAUAUAAUUUAUCAUUUUAUUAUAAUAUUGCUAUUCAUAUUUUAUUAAAAAUAUUUAUUUUUUAAUUUAUUUGUAACUAUAAAAUUAUUUUUUAUUUUUAAUAAGAUUUGAAUUAAAUUUAUUUUAUACCAUAUGAAUUGAUUUUACAAUUUGUUCUUUUACAAAAUCAAAAUAAAAAUUUAUUUUUGAAAACAACUUAUCCAAAAAAGUUAUUGAAUUUUAUUUUUUGAAAAAUAUUUUUAAAAAUAACUUAUACUAGAGAAUCAAAAUACAUCAUCCUAAGGAUCAAUUGAAAUCCCAUUUAUAAGUGGGAUUUCAUUUCCUUUGGAAUUAUUCUUAAUUUUAUUCCUAUUGUUAUUUUUAAGUUAUCCAGACAUGAGAAUGGAUGAGAAAGGAAUGAGAUGCUCAUUCCCACUCUUCAAUCCCACAUAGCAAACAUACCCUAAGUGUUUACUUGCUUCUAUUUGUAGUAUAUGAUAUAAGUUUCAUCCUUAAUUGCCUACCAUUUAUUUAUUUUUAUAGUAAUUAUCAUAAAUACAAUAUUUUUCUUGUUUUCUUCUUUAUAAAUUGAUUUUUGAGAUUGACAUCUCAUUUUAACAUAUAUUAUUGUUGUGUUUAUUGAAUAUCUAGACUCAUGUCAUAACAUCUCAUUUGAGAUUGCCAUAUCAAUCCCUCAAAUUACUGCUUGGGGUUCAUGGCAUUGCCACACCCAAAAUCUAAAUUUGAAGAAGAAAACCAUGGAGAGACUAUGAGUAACUUCUUUGGCUUCAUUCUCCGUAUUAUUAUAAAUACUAGAUAUUAAUUAUUCCAAAUUACAGGUCCACAACUUAAUUUUUUUUUUUUUUUAGUGGCAGUUAUAUAUAUGCAUACCUAAAACCAAUAUAUUAAUUAAUUACUUAUGAAUAAAUUAGAAAGCCAAGUAUCUUUUCUAUUGCAACUAUGAUGAAAUUCACUUCCAAAGCUUAAAAUGAUACAUAAAGCAUAUAGAGGUCUACAAACAAAACUUAUCGCCUUCGUGGGUGGUUUUUGACAUAGGUUGCUCUUCCUCUCAACAACCAUUUAACAAUUUUUUCCACAAAAUCAAAGUAGGUAUCACACCAAGAUUUCCUUAUUGCCAAAACAAAGAAUGGAACUAAAAUACCCACCGCAAAUCCCAAGCCAACGCUCAAGUAAAACCAUUGAUCAAUAUAACCACCAUCAUUUUUGUCCUCAACAACACUUUGCUUUUUACCUUGGCAUUUUAUGAUUAGUGGAGUUCCACAAAGAUCAGGAUUUCCAACAAAGGUCAACUCAGUGAAAGUUGUCAUAUGCCCUAUAAAAGGGAUCUUACCAGAGAAAUUGUUAUUUGAUAGAUUCAAAGAACCCAAGAAUGAUAAUAAGGACAUGCUUGAAGGAAUGGUGCCGAAAAGCUUAUUACUUGAUAGAUCAAGAGAUGACAGUUGACGUAACAUUGAAAUGUUUUCUGGAAUUUGACCAGUGAUGAGAUUCCUAGACAAGUUCAGAACCACCAAACCGGAUAAUUUUGUUAUUCCUUGGGGAAACUCUCCACUUAAAUUAUUGUCAGAUAGGUCUAUGCCUACCACAAGAGAAAGAGUCCUAGUGUAUUCAAGACUUUGGCCUUUUGCAAUCACAACCAACCGUUCUUCAUGCAAGGAGCUGGUCCCAUCGACAUACAAUGGAUAUAUAUUCAUGUUAUACUCCUGAGCCAUUGCUUUAAGCUCAACCAAAGUGACUGGAAUUUCACCCAUCAAACUGUUUUGCGCAAUGUCUAAAACAUGCAAGGAGCUCAAAUUUGAAAGUUGAGAGGGAAGUCUUCCAGAAAACACAUUUGACCUCAAACUGAGUAUUACAAGAUUUCCGAAAGCAACUCCAAUCCAUGCAGGAACUUGGCCUGAUAAUUUAUUGUAACUGAGAUCAAGGACUUCCAAACUUGUUAAAUUUUGGAAAGACGAGGGAAGCUCUCCUAAAAGCUUGUUGUGGUUCAGAUGUAGUGAUUGAAGCAAUUGUAACUGACCCAACGACUUUGGUGUCAUCCCAGACAAAUUGUUCUUUCCAAGGUCUAUAACAAUUAGGCUAGAGCAAUUAUUUAUGGUAGAAGGAAUGCUUCCAGACAAAUUAUUCCUUGAAAGAUCAAUGACUUGCAGAGAGGUGAUGUGUCCUAUGGAAUCUGGGAUGGUCCCUGUUAUUUGAUUACUCGAAAGAGAAAGGAAAAACAAUUUGGGUAGGGACUCACCUAUGUUUGAUGGGAUGACUCCUGUUAUUUGAUUUUCCGAAAGAAAAAGGAAAUGCAAGUCUAACAUGGAUUCACCUUUACUCAGUGGGAUAGGGCCAGAAAAUUUAUUAUGGGAGAGAUCUAGAAAAUAGACCCCUUUGAUUGAAAAAGGAAUAGGUCCCUCAAAGAGGUUGUAACUAAAAUCAAUAUAUGCCAGAUUGCCAAAAGAAAAAUUUAAUGAAUUUGGUAACUGACCUUGUAACUGAUUGAAAUAUAGACUAAUGUACAACAGAUUAAAAGAAAUAUUCCAAAACCAAUUUGGAAUAGAACUUGAAAUGCUGGCAUUUGAGAAACGAAGAUACCGGAGGUUCUUUUGAGAUUGAAGCCAAGCUGGAAAUGAAAGACCUAAGUGGCAUGAACCCAUAGAAAGAGCUCUCACUUGGAAGGGAGGAACCCAAUUGGAACUAACAUUCAAACUGAAAGUAUUGAAGUUCAGGUUUAGUUCCUCUAACUUACUUAGCUUCCAAAAAUGUUGUUCAGAGAGAGUUCCACUCAGUUGAUUGGAAGAAACAUCCAAGAAAUGUAAUUGAGAAAGUUGUCCAAUACUAUAUGGGAGACUUCCAUUCAGCACAUUUCCUUCAAGAUUCAUAUACUCCAAUUGUUGCAAUGUCCCUAAAGACGUAGGGAUGGAACCUUCAAAUUUGUUGUCAGAUAAAUGAAGUUCCCUAAGUUCUUGAAGCUCACCCAACCAGUUUGGCAAUUUUCCCAUCAAUUGACUCUCGUCCAAGUAUAACUUCCUCAAAUUAGGCAGAGGACUUUUAGAAUUGCAGGUUUCAAUUCCUUUGAUAAUCUCAGGUAAACUUCCUUUCAAGUUAUUAAGACUCAAAUCCAGAUAUUUUAAGUUGCAAAAGUUUCCAAUGGAGCUUGGAAUUGAACCUGUCAUGACCAAGAGUAAAAAAAUAUGUAUUAAUUAAAAUUAUGUAAUGAAAAAAAUAAUAUAAAUAUUAAAUAACAAAACAAUUUAAUUCAUGAACAAAUAUUUUAAAGAAAUGGUAAGAAAAAUUAUGAUUUCUCAUGCAUUGGUGAAUAACAACUAGUUCUAACAACCAUAAAAUAAAGUAAUUUAUUUAGAUGAUGUAAGACUAGUAAUAAUUCAAACAAAGUCAUAGUUUAGUGAGGGAAGAUAAAAAAAAUGAAAACAUAUACCAAAAGAUUAAGAAAUUAAAAAAAAUGUUUUUCCGAACAAUUAUUUUAUCUCCAAGUGGUUAUUCUAUUUUUUUUUUUUUUUUUACAAACUCCUAGAAAAUGUGAAUAGAAAAUUAUAGUGAUGUAGAAAGUACCAUUAAAAUCAAUAAAAUGACAUAGCAACAUGGUUUAUAUCUAUCUAAAACAUAUAGAGGAUAUGUUAUAAAUUGAAAUACUCUAAAUGAGUUGGGGAGUGAUAAAAAAAUAUUAUCACUCAAAUCUAAAUAUUUUAGAGACUUUAAUUUUAUCAAUCUAUCAAAGUAAAAACUCAUAUGACAACAUAUGUUUCCUAUUUAGCAUAGAAUAGUAGCUUCUUCAUUUGGAUUUAGUCAAUUCUCUUAAUGAUUAAAAACCACCCUAAGUUAAUAGUUACUUAUUAUCCCCAAGAACAAAAUAAAUUUUAAAAAUGAAAGCAUGUCAAAAUCUUAUUAUAGAAAUGAAUACAUUCAAAAAAUAAUUAAUAUAAUAAAUGUAUAAAAAUGAUAUUCUUAUUAUUGACAAUAAUAAAUAAUAAAUCACUAACCAACUAAUUUAAAACAAAAAAAUAGAGGUUAAGGAUUUAAAAAAAAAAAAAAUUUGUAUUCCCAUAAGAUUCAAUUCUUUUUCAUGGCUAAGUAGUCAAUUACUUACCUUUACACAAGAAAUUGUUAAAUAAUAUAGAUACUUCAUAAACAAAAAUUAUUAGACUAUAUGCUUUCUCUUAGAUUAAAAAAAAAAAAACUAAAUUUCCUUCUAAGAAAUUUAAAAUUCAAAAUAAUGUUUUAAUAAUAAGUAGAAAUUUAUUUCCAACAUGUGAACAAAGUAUAGCAAUUAUUUGAUAUUGUAUACUAAUACAUAGUCAAUAAGAUCUUAUAUACACAAUGAUCAACUAUAUAUAUUUAACUACAUAUUAAACAAAGAAAUAUCAAUUUUUAUAUUAACACAAGAAGCUUACCAUGUAAUUUAUUAUAACCCAAAUUUAGAACUUCUAUCUUUUUCCAACUCUUCCUCAAUAGUUGAGAGAUACUACUUCUGAGAUUAAGAUUCAUAGAUAGAUCUAAGUAUUGCAACUUAGGUAGCUCACCAAGACCAAGUGGAAUCCUCCCAUGUAAUUGAUUGUAGCUUAUAUCAAUGGAUCCAAGGUUGCUAACAUUUAGAAGCCAUUCAGGAAACACAAAAUUGAAUUGGUUAGAGCUUAUACUUAUAAGAAGCAGUGAAGUAAAAUUAACAAAGCUUGGAGAUGGAAUUGAUCCAAUGAGGUUACACCUAUCUAGAUGCAACUCAGUUAAAGCUGGGAGCUUGUUUAGUACUUCAACCCAUUGACUUCCUACCAAUGCAAGGUCAACAGAAUCCAUAUCAAGAUACUUCAAGGAAACAAGACUAGCCAUCCAUUCAAUAUUGUCAACAUAUAGAUCAUUAGAAUAUCUAGAAGAAAGAUCUAGAUGUUGUAAGCUAGAAAGAUUCCCUAAAUUUGAAGGAAUCACUCCACUAAACCCAGCAUUGGAUAAGUUUAGAUAUAGUAAAUUCUUCAAAGACCCAAAAAACUGAGGAAUAGGUAUGGCAUUGUAUGAGUUGAAACUCAAAUCUAGAUAUUUCAAGGAUUUGAGUUUUAUCAAUGAAGGUCUAAUUUCUCCACUCAAGCUCAUAGAACUCCAAUUCUCAUAUGCAUCCUUAUCCAAAUAAGGGUUAUGAAGAUCAAUUGAAAUGACAAAUCUUGUGCCAUUUUCACAACUAAUUCCCUGCCAAUAGCAAUAAUUGCUUCCUUUCCACGAUGAAAGCCGAUUGUUGGGAUCUUUGAGACCAUUUUUGAAGUCGAUAAGAGCCUCUUGUUCAGAUUGUAGACUGCCAUCAAUAUUGGUAUGGCCAUUGCAAGCAAGUAUUGUUGUUAUUAAAUAGAGAAUGGUCAAAAUGAAACCAAAAAUUGAAAUUCUUUCCAUGUAAAUAUUCAAUUCUCUAGUAAGGAGCACCUGUAAAAAUUGAAUUCCAAUAUAUAGUUAGUAUUUUCUUUACUUGAAUCAAAAUUUUAUUUCCAACAUAAAAAUUAAAAAAGUAACAAAAAAAAUUAAAAGACAAUUGCAUCAAUAUAAAGAACUCAUUUUAAUAUUUAACAAAUUUCAUUAGUCUAUUAUGAUUAAUUUAAGAUCUAUUGAUACCAUUCUUAUAUAUAUACUAAGAAAAACAAUUGUAAUCAUCUCAUAGAUCAAGUUUACUUUGAUCGACAAUAACUAAAAUCACCUACAAGAGAGUAAAAGCAUUAGAUAGAAAACCACAUUAAAAAUAAUUUAUCAAUAUUAGUGGAGUAGAACAUCACCUGCUGAAACUUCUUUCUUGCUCUUUGGUUUUUUGCUUCAACACAAAUAUAUAGAAGAUGGUUUAAAGUGAUGAUAAUGACAACCUCAUUUUUCUUUUUCUUUUUUAGUAUUAUAUGAGUUCUUGCCUUCAUUAUUAAAACCAAGUGUUUUGAUUGAAGAACUUUGACUUGGAGAAAAAAAAAUGUAGAUGGAAAGACCAUGACUUGGCACUAAGUCAUGGUGAUCAAUAAAUAAGAAAAUUCAUUUAUGAGUAAAAAAAAAUACUCAUUUUAAACUUUGAAAUAUCUUAACGAAGAGAAAUAAUAGAUGUAAAUCAAGGUAUUAUGAAUAAGUUAAAAGCUUAGAUCAUUCAACAUAAAAAUAGCAUUAUUUAAUCUAUGGGAUUGUUUGGUGGUGUAAUUUGGAAAUUUAUAGUAUUAUUUGGUAUUCUUAUUUUGGAAAACAAUUUUUAAAAAUGAAAUUAAAUAGAAAACAAAUCCAUAGAACAAAUAGAAAUUGAUUUAGCUUGUUUUCAAAGACAAAAAGAAAAAUAUAAAGAAAUAAAAAUAAUAGUUUAAAAAAUUUUAAAAAGCAAAUGAAGUAAACACAAUCUCUUUUCUCUUUCAUUUCUCUUCGCCAUCCAAUACCAAAAUCAUCAAAUAUGAUUUUUCUUAAUUACAUGUAUUCUUUUAAUUUUCUUUAACCUCUCUAAAUUUUUUCAUUAGUCAAAUAGAUUCCAAAUCAAGUAAUAUUUAAUAUAUAGGAUUUAUUCAUUUUUACAAAUAAUUUAAAACUCAAAAAUCAAUCCAAUUAAUACUAAGCAGUCAUCAAACUCAAAGUCAAUCCAAUUAAUAUUAAAAAACGAAGAACCUGAAAGGUGAUAUCUUUUGAAACAUUCAAGACCUUACAACCAUAUUGAAAGGUGACAUCUUUGAAAAAUUCAAGUCCACACAAGAUAAUAGCCUUACAACCAUAUUGAAGGAUGAUAUCUUUUAAAAUAUUCAAGACCUUACAACUAUAUUGAAAGGUGAUAUCUUUUGAAACAUUCAAGACCUUACAACCAUAUUGAAAGGUGACAUCUUUGAAAAAUUCAAGUCCACACAAGAUAAUAGCCUUACAACCAUAUUGAAGGAUGAUAUCUUUUAAAAUAUUCAAGACCUUACAACCAUAUUGAAACAUUCAAGACCUUACAACAUUCAAGUCCAUGAAAAAUAUUCUCCACACAAGAUGAUAUUAGAUAAGUUUAAUAUUCUCAAAUUAUUAUGAAUCAUGUAGGACUAACUUGGCCAAUAUCAUUACAAAAUUAAAGAUUUAUUAUCCAUAAUGAUAAAUUAUGAAAAGUUGUUUUAAAUCCAAAUAUGUCAAAGUAGCUAGGUGUACCAUUAAUAUAAUUAAGACCAAAUUAUUUUACUAUAUACACUUAAUAGAUUAAACACUAUAUCUAUCUUGCAACUUAAAUAAUUACUUUUAAUUUCAAAGGAAAAUGGUAUUUGAAAAUAAUAUGAUCCGAUACACAAACUUAAUUCCUUUAAUCCUAACUAAUGAGAAACAUACACAUGAUAUCACCUUAUGAUAAUAGAUUAGUUUUUUUCAAUUAUUUGUUAUUAUACAAAUAUCUAAUAACUUAUUUUUCCUGUAUUCCAUUUCCAAUGUGGGAUUGAGAUUGCAUUUUUAAAGCUAAAAAAAAAACACAAUAUGCAAGUGAAGGGCUUCGAACACCUUGAGUAAGAGAUGUAUAAUAUCUACCACUUGACCAAAUGUGCUUUGCUACUAUAACAACACAUAACAUUAUAUAUAUAUCAAUAAAAUAACUUCAAAAUCUCUAUUAUUCCUUAAUAUAUUAUUUCUUAGAAUUUUUCCUAACAUUUCCAUGAAUUUUGAUUAAUUUUCGAUAUUUUGUAUCAAAACAUUUACCGUAUUUCUUGAUAUAUUUUAAUAUAUCUGUAAAAUCAAACUACCAUUCAUACACAUGAUAUGACCUUAUAAUAAUAGAUUAGUUUCUUCCAAUUAUUUUUAUUAUACAAAUAUCUAACAACUUAAUUUGCCUAGAUUUAAUCAUGGACAAUGGAUAAUCAUUUAAAAUCCAAACAUAAUAGUUCAUUUUUUCUUAAUCAUGAUCCACAAUAAAGAAUAUUUAUUUUGCAUGAAGUGUGGACCACAUUGUAAGGUUUGUCAAAUCAAAUAGUCAUAUGGAUAAUAAAUAACCAUUUAAAAUUAUAUUAGAAUCGUUUUUUUUUUUCAUGACCCAUAAAUUUUUGAAUAAAGUGUAGACCACGUUGUUUGAUCAUGACUGAUAAUAAAUAUCUUGAAUUGUAUGAAGUCUAUAUUUCCAUUGUUUGGUGGAAAUAUAAAAAUCUUGACUUAAGUUGUAAUUAAAUUAGUGAAAUUGAAUUCAAACAAAUACCAAUUCAACUUAGAGCCACACAAGGUUUGAAAUGUGACCGCCUAAAGCAAUUGAAUCCAAACAAACACUAAUACAAGUUAGAGCCACACAAGGUUUGAAAUGUGGCCCACUCACCAAGAUUCCUAAGCCCAAUUUCAAAAUUGAAUCUAUAUAUCACAGUAGAUUGGGUUCCUAUUUCGUCUUGGGGCCCCAAGAUUCCUAUGCCCAAUCUCAUUUCUAAUACCUUAUGGGCUAACCUAAAAAAUAUGCCAUUGUUUUUUUAUUCCAUUUCCAAUGUGGGAUUGAGAUUGCAUUUUCAAAGCUAAAAAAAAAAAAAAAAAACACAUUAUGCAAGUGAAGGGCUUCGAACACCUUGAAUAAGAGAUGUAUAAUAUCUACCACUUGACCAAAUGUGCUUUACUGCUAUAACAACACAUAACAUUAUAUAUAUCAAUAAAACAACUUCAAAAUCUCUAUUAUUCCUUAACAUAUCAUUUCUUAGAAUUUUUCCUAACAUUUCCAUAAAUUUUGAUUAAUUUUCGAUAUUUUGUAUCAAAACAUUUACCGUAUUUCUUGAUAUAUUUUAAUAUAUCUGUAAAAUCAAACUAUCAUCCAUACACAUGAUAUGACCUUAUAAUAAUAGAUUAGUUUCUUCCAAUUAUUUUUUACUAUACAAAUAUCUAACAACUUAAUUUGCCUAGAUUUAAUCAUGGACAAUGGAUAAUAAUUUAAAAUCCAAUCAUAAUAGUUCAUUUUUUUCUUAAUCAUGAUCCACAACAAAGAAUAUUUAUUUUGCAUGAAGUGUGGACCAGAUUGUAAGGUUUGUCAAGUCAAAUAGUCAUAUGGAUAAUAAAUAACCAUUUAAAAUUAUAUUAGAAUCGUCUUUUUUUUUCAUGACCCAUAAAUUUUUGAAUAAAGUGUAGACCACGUUGUUUGAUCAUGACUGAUAAUAAACAUCUUGAAUUGUAUGAAGUCUAUAUUUCCAUUGUUUGGUGGAAAUAUAAAAAUCUUGACUUAAGUUGUAAUUAAAUUAGUGAAAUUGAAUUCAAACAAAUACCAAUUCAACUUAGAGCCACACAAGGUUUGAAAUGUGACCGCCUAAAGCAAUUGAAUCCAAACAAACACUAAUUCAAGUUAGAGCCACACAAGGUCUGAAAUGUGGCCCACUCACCAAGAUUCCUAAGCCCAAUUUCAAAAUUGAAUCUAUAUAUCACAGUAGAUUGGGUUCUUAUUUCAUCUUGGGGCCCCAAGAUUUCUAUGCCCAAUCUCAUUUCUAAUACCUUAUGGGCUAACCUAAAAAAUAUGGCAUUGUUUUUUUAUUCCAUUUCCAAUGUGGGAUUGAGAUUGCAUUUUUAAAGCUAAAAAAAAAAAAACACAUUAUGCAAGUGAAGGGCUUCGAACACCUUGAGUAAGAAAUGUAUAAUAUCUACCACUUGACCAAAUGUGCUUUACUACUAUAACAACACAUAACAUUAUAUAUAUCAAUAAAACAACUUCAAAAUCUCUAUUAUUCCUUAAUAUAUCAUUUCUUAGAAUUUUUCCUAAUAUUUCUAUGAAUUUUGAUUAAUUUUCGAUAUUUUGUAUCAAAACAUUUACCGAUAUUUCUUGAUAUAUUUUAGUAUAUCUGUAAAAUCAAACUACCAUCCAUACACAUGAUAUGACCUUAUAAUAAUAGAUUAGUUUCUUCCAAUUAUUUUUUAUUAUACAAAUAUCUAACAACUUAAUUUGCCUAGAUUUAAUCAUGGACAAUGGAUAAUCAUUUAAAAUCCAAUCAUAAUAGUUCAUUUUUUUCUUGAUCAUGAUCCACAAUAAAGAAUAUUUAUUUUGCAUGAAGUGGGGACCACAUUGUAAGGUUUUUCAAGUCAAAUAGUCAUAUGGAUAAUAAAUAACCAUUUAAAAUUAUAUUAGAAUCGUCUUUUUUUUCAUGACCCAUAAAUUUUGAAUAAAUUGUAGACCAUGUUGUUUGAUCAUGACUGAUAAUAAAAAUCUUGAAUUGUAUGAAGUCUAUAUUUCCAUUGUUUGGUGGAAAUAUAAAAAUCUUGAAUUAAGUUGUAAUUUAAUUAGAUAAAUUGAAUUCAAACAAAUACCAAUUCAACUUAGAGCCACACAAGGUUUGAAAUGUGACUGCCUAAAGCAAUUGAAUCCAAACAAACACUAAUUCAAGUUAGAGCCACACAAGGUUUGAAAUGUGGCCUACUCACCAAGAUUCCUAAGCCCAAUCUCAGAAUUGAAUCUAUAUAUCACAGUAGAUUGGGUCCCUAUUUCAUCUUGGGGCCCCAAGAUUCCUAUGCCCAAUCUCAUUUCUAAUACCUUAUGGGCUAACCUAAAAAAUAUGCCAUUGUGUUUUAUUCCAUUUCCAAUGUGGGAUUGAGAUUGCAUUUUUAAAGCUAAAAAAAAAAAAAAACACAUUAUGCAAGUGAAGGGCUUCAAACACCUUGAGUAAGAGAUGUGUAAUAUCUACCACUUGACCAAAUGUGCUUUACAACUAUAACAACACAUAACAUUAUAUAUAUCAAUAAAACAACUUCAAAAUCUCUAUUAUUCCUUAAUAUAUCAUUUCUUAGAAUUUUUCCUAACAUUUCCAUAAAUUUUGAUUAAUUUUCGAUAUUUUGUAUCAAAAUAUUUACCGUAUUUCUUAAUAUAUUUUAAUAUAUCUGUAAAAUCAAACUACCAUCCAUACACAUGAUAUGACCUUAUAAUAAUAGAUUAGUUUCUUCCAAUUAUUUUUUACUAUACAAAUAUCUAACAACUUAAUUUGCCUAGAUUUAAUCAUGGACAAUGGAUAAUCAUUUAAAAUCCAAUCCUAAUAGUUUAUUUUUUUCUUGAUCAUGAUCCACAAUAACAAAUAUUUAUUUUGCAUGAAGUGUGGACCAGAUUGUAAGGUUUGUCAAGUCAAAUAGUCAUAUGGAUAAUAAAUAACCAUUUAAAAUUAUAUUAGAAUCGUCUUUUUUUUUUCAUGACCCAUAAAUUUUGAAUAAAGUGUAGACCACGUUGUUUGAUCAUGACUGAUAAUAAACAUCUUGAAUUGUAUGAAGUCUAUAUUUCCAUUGUUUGGUGGAAAUAUAAAAAUCUUGAAUUAAGUUGUAAUUAAAUUAGAGAAAUUGAAUUCAAACAAAUACCAAUUCAACUUAGAGCCACACAAGGUUUGAAAUGUGACCGCAUAAAGUAAUUGAAUCCAAACAAACACUAAUUCAAGUUAAAGCCACACAAGGUUUGAAAUGUGGCCUACUCACCAAGAUUCCUAAGCCCAAUCUCAAAAUUGAAUCUAUAUAUCACAAUAGAUUGGGUCCCUAUUUCAUCUUGGGGCCCCAAGAUUCGUAAACCCAAUCUCAUUUCUAAUACCUUAUGGGCUAACCUAAAAAAUAUGGCAUUGUUUUUUUAUUCCAUUUCCAAUGUGGGAUUGAGAUUGCAUUUUCAAAUCUAAAAAAAAAAAAAAAAAAACAUUAUGCAAGUGAAGGGCUUCGAACACCUCGAGUAAGAGAUGUAUAAUAUCUACCACUUAACCAAAUGUGCUUUACUACUAUAACAACACAUAACAUUAUAUAUAUCAAUAAAACAACUUCAAAAUCUCUAUUAUUCCUUAAUAUAUCAUUUCUUAGAAUUUUUCCUAAUAUUUCCAUGAAUUUUGAUUAAUUUUCGAUAUUUUGUAUCAAAACAUUUACCGAUAUUUCUUGAUAUAUUUUAGUAUAUCUGUAAAAUCAAACUACCAUCCAUACACAUGAUAUGACCUUAUAAUAAUAGAUUAGUUUCUUCCAAUUAUUUUUUAUUAUACAAAUGUCUAACAAUUUAAUUUGCCUAGAUUUAAUGAUGGACAAUGGAUAAUCAUUUAAAAUCCAAUCAUAAUAGUCUAUUUUUUUUCUUGAUCAUGAUCUGCAGUAAGGAAUAUUUAUUUUGCAUGAAGUGUGGAACAUGGUGUAAGGUUUGUCAAGUCAAAUAGUCAUAUGCAUAAUAAAUUACCAUUUAGAAUUAUAUUAGAAUAGUCUUUUUUUUUUUUUCGUGACCCAUAAAUUUCAUAUGCAGUGUAGACCAUGUUGUUUGAUCAUGACCCAUUUAUUUUGUAUGAAGUGUGGACCACAUUGUUUGAUUAUGACCAAUAAUAAAGGAACUUUAUUAUUUGUGUUGUGUCGGCCACCUUAUCAAGUCAAAAAGCUAAACCAUGCUCCCUUAAAUUGAAAAAGAAAAAAAGAAAGUUCUUGAGUUAGUCAUUUUUCUCAUUAAGAUCAUUCUUCAUCUUAAAAAUAAACAUUUAAAACUUUGUAUCUAGUAAUAAUAUAGGAUAAAAAGAACUUAAUAGUGAUCAACACUAAUUUUAUAUUAUAAUACAAAAUUAAAAGAAAUAAUUAACUAGUCAAGAAAUGAAUUAAUUGUUACCUUUGGGAAAAUGUCUUACUCAACAUUAUAGAUUUUUUUUAGGGAUAAUUGUUUUUUGGGCCUAGCUGGGCCCAAAAAUUAAGAUCUGGUCCAUAUAUCUUACAUAAUUAAGCCCAACACCCAAAGAAAGUCUGAAAAUUGAGAAGAAUGAUAUGAAAUGUUUAAUUUGCCGAAAAUGCCUGUUGCUAGCUAUUAAAAAAAAAAUCCACGUUGGAAUUCCAUUUUCUUUUGCCCUAAUUUUAGUUUGCAUUUCAUUUCAGACAGAGGCGUUUUCAUCUCUCCCAAUUUCGUCCCUCGCUUUCAUUUCAAUUGAGGCCCAAAGAAUGCCAUAAUCUCUAUGGCAAUCUGAUUUUAGGUGUAGAUAGUGGCGUUUUUCAUCUCUGUCGAUCCAUUGCCCUCGUCGAUCCCCAUCGGAUUUGCCCUUCGUGCCAAAGUAGUUGAUAGUUGAGGUUAGUAGGUUCAAUAAUUUCAUUUUAUGCUUCAUUUCGACUAUCUGGACCAUUUGAUUUCAACCCAAAUACAUUGCCCUAAUUUAUCUCGCAAUUUCAGUUUGCCAUCUAUUGUUCUCUCAUCGAUCCCCACCGGCGGUGCCCUCCGUGUUGAGCAUUGUUGGAUAUUUGAGGUUAGCUAGGACUUUCUAGAGUUGGGUUGCUAUCUGAAUUGAGAAGGGAGUUUCUCUCACCGUCAGGUAAAGCAGUCUUUUUUUUAAGCUUAAAUACCGUAAUAGAUUUUUUUGUUUUAACAUAUAUUUUUUUAUGGGUAUUUUUUUAUUUAGCAUAAUGAUUAUCAACUCUUUCUUUUGUGUGGAUGACUUGAUCUCUUGAUAGCCACUUUCAUUGUGGGUUAUGAUGUUUCUAAGACAUGGCUCACAGUUUGAAAUAGUGAGGAUCUUCAUGGGUUAAUUGCAGCUGCAUGUCGUGGUAUCAAGAGUUUUUCUUUAGAUAAUUUUGUUUGUGUUGAAUUUACAUGAUUGAUAGCCUUGACAUGCAAAACCCACUUCUUUUUAAC
rnacentral:lncRNA from 1 species